UCUUGAUUCACCAACCCCUCCAUAAACCAGAUCCUACUGACAACAGUUUUCCUAGAGUAAGAGAUAGAGAAGGAUUUCCCUAGUGAGAAAGGGUAACGAGGAAUGACAUUUCAAAGAAAAUACAGCUACUCAGCGAGGGGUGAUCCUGGAGAGUUAGAAAUGUGGUUCUAAACAGUAUGCACAGUAAGAACAAAUAGAGACCACAGGGCCACAGAGGAACCUGCCCCUAUAAAAACUUGUCAAAGAUGCUCCGCCACUCUGUAAAACUCCAAACAUCCAUCUAUCUAAGGAACUGCUGCAGAGGCCAGAGUGACGACUAGGAAUGAGAAGAAAGCCUGUCAGGCCCUGAACAGUCCAGGGAGAUGUAAGGGAGCAAGAGCAGCUUAGUUCAUGCCUGGCAAAGAGAUACAAGGAUAAAAGACGACUAGCUGCUUCAAAGGUGCAUGGCUCCUUCCCAUUUUUUCUUGUCAAAAAAGGUCAUUAGUGAAACUCAAGUAAUCCUUUUUUUGCAGAUUAAAAAGUGGCCAUGACCUGCCUUUGAGGAGAAGAGGAGAAGGAGGGGUAGUCAUCUUUUAGGUCUCCAUACAAUCCUGCAAUCAAGUAGCUGCUGGGGAGGCCAGCGGUACCAAGUUCCAUCAGGUGGCACUGCUCACAGGCAGGGAAACUACCAUCUCUACACACUCUGGCAACAGAAACUGGCCUGUACUGCUAUGACAUUCCUGAAUCAAUGAAUCUCACUGAAUUUUCCUUCCUCGGCAAAUAGGGAAAGGUUUUCCAAGGUGCUGGGCAAAAGAGAACGACCACUGACAAGUGAGUGUACAGGCUCCCAUGAGACCUAGGAAGCACAGAAGCACAGAGUUAAGGCUUUGACUUCAACCCAUUGACAUCAAACACAACCCAGUGAAAUGGCUGACUUUCCAAUGCUGAAGCUCCUCAUGGACAAAUGUUUGGUUAUUUUCCCUGACGCAGUAUUCACUGUCCCUCCUGCUGCUGAUGGUGUGGACAUGUUCCUGCCGAAGGCCUCUGCUUGAUCGCUAAGAUUUGUUUUUAUUACUUUCCAGGCAUCAUGCUUAGUGCUUUGUGUGCAAUGUCUCUUUAAAGCUUCACAACAAUUUUACUCUGAAAUAGGCGCUCUUAUUAUCCCCUUUUUAGGAAAGAGGAAAAUGAGGUUUAGAGAGUUUAAAUAACUUGCUCAGAGGCACAUAGCUUCUAAGCAGAGGAGCAGAGACUUGAACAAGAGAAAUACAUGUUCUUAGCAGUCCUGAUAAAUUCCCCUUUGCUCCCAUGAUAUAAAAAGUUGAGGCAUUCAGGCUGGAAUUACAUGGUACAUGAUCAGCAUAUCAUAUAUUCCUCCCCCAGCAAGCAAAGGGGUGUGGAAAAGGUAAAGAGAGAUAAAAACCUUGCCUUCACAUAAGAACUGGCUGUGGAACAGAAAUUCCCCACUUUGGUGUCCACAAUGGAGUUAAGCAAAAGAACAGAGAAAUUCAAUGGUGGGUCCACAUUCUCCUUUUUAAAUAAAGUUUUCGUCUCUCCUCUUGGCACUUUGAGACAACUUUUUUCAUUCACGAGCCAUAUAAAUAGCUUGGAAACCAAUGGUUUUCCAUAAAGAGGAGAGAGAAAAAAAGUAGGGAUUUAAAGAAGACUCACAGACAAUUUCCUUUAUAAUCUUGCUCCCAUAUUUCCUGCUUUGACUGUGACUUUCCAAACAAGGGUUUAAGAACUGGGAAAGAACACAAUUUGAAGUUAAGGGAAACACUCAAUACCUAAGCAAGCAAGUGGUGCAAGCCUGGGCCUCAACUUGAUACAUACCUUCAGUGCUACAUCACUAGCAAAUGUCCUCCCAAUUAUUCUCAGACCAUAUGUUUUGUUUUAAAAUCAAGUUGUUCCAGUUCCCAAUAAUUAAACAGAGAAGAGCCAAAAAACAGAGACAGGCAUGCAAUACUUGAGGCACAUUCAGUUUCCCCUUCCCACCUCCCAAAGAAAAGACAACCAUAAACCACGAAACUGACCUCAUUCUGAAACCCAGGGAGGCCCACUUGCAGGAAAUAGCUGAGAAGUCUUAAAGUCAACCCUUUACUCUUUUGAAAUGGAAAAAAAUAUAUCUGAGGCAUCUUAUCUGAGGCAUCUUCCCACAUGGCAAUAUAUGCAAAUGUACAGUACAAAUGUUUGUCAACCCAAAUUUUGAUGUUUUAAAAUAAAUAACAAUAAUUUUGCCGGCAUUUGUUGAAUGCUAAGUAUGGCUAAACUACAGCCACGUGUUGCUUAAUAAAGGGAAUACGUUCUGAGAAAUGUGUAGUCAUGCAAACAUCAUAGUGUACUUACACAAGCCUAGAUGGUACAGCCUAUGACGCACCUAGGCUAUAUGGUAUAGCCUAUUGCUCCUAGGCUACAAACCUAUACUGCAUGUCACUGUACUGAAUACUGUAGGCAACUGUAAUACAAUGGUAAGUAUCUGGCAUCCAAACGUAUCUAAACAUAGAAAAGGCAUAGUAAAAACACAAUAUAAUAAUCUUAUGGGACCACCAUUGUAUAUGCAGUUGGCUGUUAACUGAAACAUCAUUAUAUGGCACAUGACUACUGUUUCAAACUGAG
rnacentral:lncRNA from 1 species